CGCGUUUUCGCGGGGGCGCCGCGCCACGCCGUUCCGAGCCUGAGGAACGAAAAGGUAGGGUUGGGCAGGGAGGAGGGCCAGGGAGAGGAGCGACGAGGGCAGAGGGGCGACGCGUUAUCCGCUAUUCGUACCCCGGGCAAGGGAACCGAUCGUUACUGGAAAACUCGGCGCGGCGGUGGAGGGGCCUUUUCAUUUUCCAAAGGGGGCGCGCACAGUUUUGCUGCCUCUCUCUCUCUCGCCAACGCGUACGUGGGAGAGAGGCUGGUGGCGGCAGCAGCUGGCGAUGGAAGGAGAGAGCGGAAGACACGAAAUUCGCCCUUCUACGGGGCGACGAGACACGCGCGACGUUAACACGACCCGGCUACGGAGGAGGGGGAGGAGGAAGAGGAGAGACGAGAGAAGAGGAGAGACGAGACGAGACGAGAGCGCAGCCGUCUCCGAUCGGGAGAGAUCCGUUGUAUCAGCAGUAUCGAUCAUUACUACUGGACUAUCUUUCCGGUCUGAACGGUUUAAGCCGCGUAUGAAGUUACGGAUACGAUUGUACCCGACUGCCGGAUGACUUUCCUUGCGUCUCGAAUAAUAAUAGGACGUCCGCACCUCUCUGCUUCUCUAUAUAAAUUUCAGAAUUACGCCUCCAAAGUGAUAUUUGCAACGGUCCUCUACGCCUCAGAGUCGGUGCACUCUCUCUGGCUAUAUCGGGGUGUUUGGCUGUGGAAUCGAGGCCUGUCGACCUUGGGAUCCGUCGCGGAAAAGGAAGGCGAGACGCUGACGAGACGAGUUGCGAGAGAGGGAGGGUCGACACGUUGUAGAGGGGGUGUAGAGUGCGGGGUGGCUAAUGGAUAUUGUUUGAAACGGUGGAGGAUGGACCAUGGUUGCGUUGGUUUUUCGGGAAAAAUGGAUCCUUUUUUCUUCUCCGCCCCCCUUCUCUUUUCUCAACUUCUUGCGGCGAAAUCAAGGGGAUGAGAUGGAUGGUUUCUGGAGCGUACUUGUUCGGGAUAAGUUGGUGGAAAUUUUUCCUUUCACACGUAUUCGAUAUCUAUUUGGAUUGUUAUUUAUCAUCUGAAUAUUGGACAAAGAAGGUGAACGAAAUUUUUGAAUUUCUCUUUGAUUUUAUAUUGCAUUUAGACUGCAUAUUGUAAUUUAUUAUAUAUGUUUUUUUUCAAUUAAAUUUGGCCGGUGAAAUUUUAAUUGUCAUAUCUUGAUUAGAAUAGAAAGAACGAAGAGGAUUAUAUCUUUUGUUAAUUAAUCUUCACGUUUAAAAAAGAGGAUUUUUCUCUUCUUUUCUUUUCUUUCGUUUUAUUAUAUAAUUAUUUAUUAAAAUAAUUGAUGGAUAAAGAUGACAGGAAACGUGAUGGAGAUUGCAGUCGAUAACUGUCAAUAUUUUUUGGAACGCUCAUUCUUGGAACGAGAAUGAUUUUACAUAUUUUGUUGACUGUUCGUCGUUUUACAGAAUGUUUUUGCGGGUGAGUACGAAUUUUUCCAGACAACAUCUGUCGAUCGCAGAGAACUGCGAGCGUUUGACGCAACAAAGAACGAUACGUUUGCAACGAAAAAAAUUUUGACACGGAAAAGAUCCGACAUUGCUCUUUUUCCAUAGAGAAGGAUCCAAUUCUCUAUCGACGAAAUUUUAAAAAUAUUUAUAUCGAGCUUCGUUUGUAUUUUGAAAACACGCGUGAUUCGCUCAUCAAAAAAUUUUGAACGGAAAUACCUUUCUUGAAAAUAUACACGUUUUAAAUGUAUCUCUGGUGUCGAAAGUAAAGAAGAAAAAGAUCAGGAUAAAAUUGGGAAAUUUCGUUUAUAGAAUUCCACUUUUACUUUAUUUAAUUUACAUAUUUGUAAGAUACGUUUAGAUUUAUGUUUAUCCAAUUCUCCCUUAAAAUACGUUGUCAAUAAAUCACAUAUAUUAAUAUCACAAAUCACAGAGGGUAUAUAACAGAGAUGACAUUUUCACUUCAUGGUUCAGUUCGCGUUUCGUUCGUGCAACAUCCCAUGAGUUUCAUUGCUUCUCUCCGAGUUUAUAAGGUAUUUCCAUGCAAACGAAUCACUUAAGUGUAUUCCAACAUCCGAGAAUUCGCUACGCGAGCAGUCGAUUUUUCGAUAUUCCCUGACGACAUCGAUGAAAUGCAAAUUCUCGACAAUAUCGUCCCACUAUAGGACAUCCUCCAUUCUUUGUAUCUUUCCAUCUAACUUCUCAAUCGUUACAGAAGGAAUGCAAUAUUUCUGUAUCGUAGAACGAAAAAUUGCAGAUACUUUCUCUUUGGAUAAAAAAAAAAAAAAAAGAUCAGUGCAAAGAGUCAUUUCUCAGAAUGAAAAGAGGAAUCAUUCGAUUGUAAUAAAUUGUAAUCAAAGUUAGUGAAAAAGAGAUGUUUGUAAUAGAAGAAUUAAAUAUAUAUUUUUAAAA